AGAGUUUGAUCCUGGCUCAGGAUGAACGCUGGCGGCGUGCUUAACACAUGCAAGUCGAACGAAGCACUUUAUUUGAUUUCCUUCGGGACUGAUUAUUUUGUGACUGAGUGGCGGACGGGUGAGUAACGCGUGGGUAACCUGCCUUGUACAGGGGGAUAACAGUUGGAAACGGCUGCUAAUACCGCAUAAGCGCACGGCAUCGCAUGAUGCUGUGUGAAAAACUCCGGUGGUAUAAGAUGGACCCGCGUUGGAUUAGCUAGUUGGUGAGGUAACGGCCCACCAAGGCGACGAUCCAUAGCCGACCUGAGAGGGUGAUCGGCCACAUUGGAACUGAGACACGGUCCAAACUCCUACGGGAGGCAGCAGUGGGGAAUAUUGCACAAUGGGCGAAAGCCUGAUGCAGCGACGCCGCGUGAGCGAAGAAGUAUUUCGGUAUGUAAAGCUCUAUCAGCAGGGAAGAUAAUGACGGUACCUGACUAAGAAGCACCGGCUAACUACGUGCCAGCAGCCGCGGUAAUACGUAGGGGGCAAGCGUUAUCCGGAAUUAUUGGGCGUAAAGAGUGCGUAGGUGGUUACCUAAGCAGGGGGUGAAAGGCACUGGCUUAACCAAUGUCAGCCCCCUGAACUGGGUACCUUGAGUGCAGGAGAGGAAAGCGGAAUUCCUAGUGUAGCGGUGAAAUGCGUAGAUAUUAGGAGGAACACCAGUGGCGAAGGCGGCUUUCUGGACUGUUACUGACACUGAGGCACGAAAGUGUGGGGAGCAAACAGGAUUAGAUACCCUGGUAGUCCACACCGUAAACGAUGAAUACUCGCUGUUUGCGAUAUACAGUAAGCGGCCAAGCGAAAGCGUUAAGUACUCCACCUGGGGAGUACGUUCGCAAGAAUGAAACUCAAAGGAAUUGACGGGGACCCGCACAAGCGGUGGAGCAUGUGGUUUAAUUCGAAGCAACGCGAAGAACCUUACCAAGUCUUGACAUCCUUCUGACCGGUAUUUAACCGUACCUUCUCUUCGGAGCAGGAGUGACAGGUGGUGCAUGGUUGUCGUCAGCUCGUGUCGUGAGAUGUUGGGUUAAGUCCCGCAACGAGCGCAACCCUUAUCUUUAGUAGCCAGCGGUUCGGCCGGGCACUCUAGAGAGACUGCCAGGGAUAACCUGGAGGAAGGCGGGGAUGACGUCAAAUCAUCAUGCCCCUUAUGACUUGGGCUACACACGUGCUACAAUGGCGUAAACAAAGGGAAGCAAAGCUGUGAAGCCGAGCAAAUCUCAAAAAUAACGUCUCAGUUCGGACUGUAGUCUGCAACCCGACUACACGAAGCUGGAAUCGCUAGUAAUCGCAGAUCAGAAUGCUGCGGUGAAUACGUUCCCGGGUCGUGCACACACCGCCCGUCA
rnacentral:rRNA from 1 species